CCCCGGGCUCACAUCCCUUUGUGAUUUGCCCGGGGCAGGCCGGCUUAGGUGUGUCGGGAAAAAGCUCUCCAGAUCACACCGUGGGCUGCAGGCGUUGAGAACCACCGAUCUGGGCCGAGUCCCCCACAGUAGUGAAUGUUUUUCUUUGUCGUCUCUACAACUGAAUUAGGACUUUUUCUGGAGUGAUGGAGGCCCAGAGAAGGGGUUGAAUUACCCAGGGUCCCGCAAAGAUUACAUGAUGGCGGUCCAAGAAUUCAUCUUUAGCAGACAUGCCGGAAUGAGCUCUGAGGACUGAGAGCCCUGCCUGUGCACUGCAGUGAAGAGACGCCUGACUCCUAGAUUAGCACGCGAGGGACCCUUUUCACUUGUCCAGAGACGCUCAGGGAAGAAGGGAAUUGGGAUGAAAGGUCUUUGGAGUUUCCCGCUUGUCUACGUCCAGCUGCCUGAUGAGUCUUUCCUUCCCUGGGAGUCGGGAGAAGCAGGCUGGCCAUACAGGUACAAAAGCGCAGCGUGAGUCUGGUUUGUGCAGUGCAAACAAGGAAGAGGGUUCUCACCUGGAACCCAAUCAGCCCAGCUUCUUGAUCUUGGAUUUCUCAGCCUCCAGAAGUGUGAAAAAUAAAUUUUUCCGUUUAAGUCACCCAGCCUGUGGUAUUUUAUUAUAGCUGUCUGAGACAGUUAUCAGAUUUCAUUUCCUUGGUGGCUGUGGGGGUAUCUUUGUCAAGUUUUUAUGUCAAUGAGUUUGUAGCUUUCUUCUUUUUUUUUUUUAAUCCACUAACUAGAACAGUUUAAAUAAUAUCUGCAUGUGGUGACCGUUGUCAUCUACCUCAAUGUCUAAUCUCCCUUACUUCCUUGGCGUGAGAAUCUCGGAACGUUAGCCGGCCGCCUUGAAGAACGAGGCUAUUUCUCAGUUCCCUAGGGGAGGUCUUAGACUAAGUUCUGGCUGAGACAACGCAAGCAGAAAGUUGUACGGUAGGUUUUAGGAAGCUACGUCAAAAAUAGCUGUCGCAUGCAUGCCCUUUACUUCCGUGUUCCCUUCUCUGUCCUGCAGCUUGGAAUGCAGGUGAGAUGGCAGGAGCUCUAGCCGGCUUAGAUCCCAGCUGUGGGGGAAGGGCUGCGAACAGGAACCUGGCAAAUCUGUGGAGUUUCCAGACCGGCCCCGGACUUUCUGGAUUUCCUGGACUUCUACAUCUGGACUGUUUUUGUAUGGGAGAGACAUGAACCUCUUUCAGCCACUAUCAUUUUGGGUUGUCUAGUCAACAGAACUCAAUCUAAUCUCCCAAUAGCAAUGCGUUGCUAGUCCUUUGGGGGGGAAAAAGUAGCCAUAAAAUCAUCUGCUCUUUAUCUGUUUUGUUUCCGUGUAUUGGGAUUCUGUUACUUCCUGAAUGCCAUUUGCAUGUAUUAGUCUGUUUCGAUUUUCAUUCCCCUUCUUGAAUCAAUUAGGUCAUUUGAUUUCUUUUAAAAAGUAAUUUCUCAAAAUUUUCAAAUUUAUUUGCACGCAAUUCUUCAAAUUACUCUCAAAGCUAGGAUUUCCUGCAUAUGCUCUCUUGAUUCCAUUUUACUUCCUGUUUUCUUUUUUAAAACUGCAUUUGAAUAGUCAAGGAUUUAUCCAGUAUGGUAGCAUUUUUCCCCUUAAGGACGAGCAGAACUUCGUUUUCUUUCUGG
ensembl:lncRNA